CGGAUAACUCGUUUUGAUACCAUACAUUAUACUUAACGUCGGAAAUAGUGCGCUGUAUAGCGCAUCUGAUUUGCUAUACAGCGCAUUACUUCCGACGUUAAGUAUAAUGUACGGUAUGAGAGAAAAAUCGAAUGUCGCUAGUCGAAAAAUUCGACUUUCUACUUGGGCGACAGUACUCACAGUGAAAGAUGAGUACCGGAUCGAUACUUUCUAAAAUCGAAUUCGUUUUUACGACAGGACUAUCCCGUCCCGGACUACGCUUUGCAGCUGAAAAAAAACACUCCGAGCAGUUGCAAUGGUGUGCGUAAUACCAGAGGUAACUGUCACUUUUGUUUUGGUCAUUAUCGCCAUUGUUUUUAUCGCAUUUGUGCUACUGUACGAAAAAUUUGCCAAUUUACUGAAAAAUGACUAAAUAACAAAAUAAAAUAAAAAAAAUUCAACCUGAUGUUUGACACGCGAAGAACGAUAAUCAAAGCAGAGAUGCCAGAUGUUUUUGAAAAAUGUCUGCAACUGCUCGAAAAACCAGUAAAAUCUGCUUGAAAUCUGAAAAAAAUCUAUUCGUGAUUCGAAAAAAUUUCGCUCGCGCUGGUAAAAGUCUGUAAGAUCUGCACACAUUUUGAGAAAAACUGCGCAAAUAUAAGGAGACUCUGACAAAAAUCUGCAGAAACUAUGGAAAGUCUGUGAAUAUCUGCAAAUCAAUAAAAAUCUGCACACGAACUCUAAAAAUCUGCGUUUUGCAGACAAAUCUGCACAUCUGGUAUCCCUGAAUCAAAGCAAACCGAUUUUGACACAUUUUUUUUAUUCGAUUUUGACACAUACGUGUGAAUGUGUUGGUGUCUUCAAAACUGCACUCUAUCUUGCGCGGACUGUCCGGGACAGAAAAAGGGUAGUCCGGGAUAGUCCGGAAAAUGUAAAAAAAAACAGUGGUAGGACAAAGUGUAGUCCGCGGGGUAGCUACACCGCAAAAACGAAAACGACAUAAAUGAUGAUUUUUGGAAAAAAAUGAAGGUCUGAUACCGAUACUAUCGAAGCAUCGAUAAUCGAUACUCCUUCAGCCGAUACUUUGAUACCUAGUAUCAAAGCUCAUUGAAGUAUCACGAUACCAAAAUAUCGAUACUUUCGUCAGUAUCGCCCAUCCCUAGUACUCUACACGUUUGCUCUGUCGAUUUGUUCGCACGCGUUACUUCUACGAUCUGUUUUGUUUAUUAUUUGUCACCAAUUGCCAUGGUAGGACGUUAAAAGAGAUUCGAUACUGCGUCGUUUAAGAAUUAGGUCAAGAAUGUUCACUAUCCGUAUGGUAUUGGCUUUGUUGCAGAGAAUAGCGAUUCUGACAAUUGAUGAUAGCAGAUGAAAUACUCCUGUAUUCAUAAAGAAGAUUCAUUUUUGCAAAUAAUUAAAAAUAAUUGAUUUCA